GAACAUGCACGGCCCACUAGAGGCCCACCUACUUUCUAUGACGUCUCUCUCUUCAUUUCACAGCUGAUUUGGCAUCGGUAUAUUCCUCGAGGAUUCCCCACCAUAACAAUGUUGCCAUUUUUAUAAUUAUUAUUAGAACAACAAUAACAACUCACUUACAUAAGUUUUCGAAAAAGACAGUAAAUUAUGGUGAUCAAAAG